rnacentral:rRNA from 1 species
UACAGAGGUCUCAAGCGUUGUUCGGAUUCAUUGGGCGUAAAGGGUGUGUAGGUGGCGCCGUAAGUCGGGUGUGAAAUUUCGGAGCUUAACUCCGAAACUGCAUUCGAUACUGCGGUGCUUGAGGACUGGAGAGGAGACUGGAAUUCAUGGUGUAGCAGUGAAAUGCGUAGAGAUCAUGAGGAACACCGAUGGCGAAGGCAGGUCUCUGGGCAUUAACUGACGCUGAGGAGCGAAAGCAUGGGGAGCGAACAGG